rnacentral:lncRNA from 1 species
AAACUUUAUUCUGAAAAGGGGUCCAUGGACUUCAUCAUACCAUCAAAGAGGUCAAUGAUACACAAAAGCUUCCCCAAAGGGAUGUACCUUGUACCCCUUCAGAUAACGGUAUCCAUGAGAUGGUCAACUGUUGCUAUUGUUUAAUGAUAAAUAAUGGAUUAAGCAUGAAAGGAAUAAUGAUGACCUCCGAGUGUCGAUGAUGCAUCUUCCUUUCCUGGGGCCAUUACUAAACAUAGCAUUUAUGGGAUCUGAUGUUUAUAGCCUUUUACAAUAAGACUUCUGGUAGGUGCCCUGACUCCCAAUCACUGUUUUAAAUGCAAUUUGUAUUCUUGUCUUAAAAAGUACCCACUAGUUUGAUUCUAAUUUCAUGCAGCAAAACUGAGAAGAGUAUACAGAAAUUUAAGUCAAAACCACCGAAAUGAAUACCUGCAAUGGCAUGAGAUCUGGUGAUGUAAAGUUACCCCACUAUGCAUAGACCGAAUAAAGAAAUUCAUGUUUUCUUAAAACCA